rnacentral:rRNA from 1 species
AGUAGUUUGAUCAUGGCUCAGAACGACGCUGGCGGCAUGCCUAACACAUGCAAGUCGAACGAGACCUUCGGGUCUAGUGGCGCACGGGUGCGUAACGCGUGGGAAUCUGCCCUUUGCUUCGGAAUAACAGUCAGAAAUGACUGCUAAUACCGGAUGAUGUCUUCGGACCAAAGAUUUAUCGGCAAAGGAUGAGCCCGCGUAGGAUUAGGUAGUUGGUGGGGUAAAGGCCUACCAAGCCGACGAUCCUUAGCUGGUCUGAGAGGAUGAUCAGCCACACUGGGACUGAGACACGGCCCAGACUCCUACGGGAGGCAGCAGUGGGGAAUAUUGGACAAUGGGCGCAAGCCUGAUCCAGCAAUGCCGCGUGAGUGAUGAAGGCCUUCGGGUCGUAAAGCUCUUUUACCAGGGAUGAUAAUGACAGUACCUGGAGAAUAAGCUCCGGCUAACUCCGUG